UACAGGGGGUGCAAACGUUGCUCGGAAUCAUUGGGCGUAAAGCGCACGUAGGCGGUUCGUUAUGUCGGAUGUGAAAGCCCUUGGCUUAACCGAGGAAGUGCAUCCGAAACUGGCGAGCUAGAGUACGAAAGAGGAUCGCGGAAUUCCCGGUGUAGAGGUGAAAUUCGUAGAUAUCGGGAGGAACACCAGUGGCGAAGGCGGCGACCUGGACGGACACUGACGCUGAGACGCGAAAGCGUGGGGG
rnacentral:rRNA from 1 species